rnacentral:rRNA from 1 species
CCUACGAGAGGCAGCAGUGAGGAAUAUUGGUCAAUGGACGCAAGUCUGAACCAGCCAUGCCGCGUGCAGGAAGACGGCGCUAUGAGUUGUAAACUGCUUUUGUACGAGGGUAAACGCAGAUACGCGUAUCUGUCUGAAAGUAUCGUACGAAUAAGGAUCGGCUAACUCCGUGCCAGCAGCCGCGGUAAUACGGAGGAUUCAAGCGUUAUCCGGAUUUAUUGGGUUUAAAGGGUGCGUAGGCGGUCGGAUAAGUUAGAGGUGAAAUCCCGAGGCUCAACUUCGGAAUUGCCUCUGAUACUGUUCGGCUAGAGCGUAGUUGCGGUAGGCGGAAUGUAUGGUGUAGCGGUGAAAUGCUUAGAGAUCAUGCAGAACACCGAUUGCGAAGGCAGCUUACCAAGCUACUUCUGACGUUGAGGCACGAAAGCGUGGGGAGCAAACAGGAUUAGAUACCCUUGUAGUC